rnacentral:tRNA from 1 species
GCCGGGAUGGCGGAACUGGCAGACGCGCAUGGUUGAGGGCCAUGUGGGGGAGACCCCAUAGGAGUUCAAGUCUCCUUCCCGGCACCA